GACGAACCGUACGAACGUUAUUCGGAAUCACUGGGCUUAAAGGGCGCGUAGGCGGGCCGACGAGCCAAGGGUGAAAUCCUCCAGCUUAACUGGAGAACAGCCUUUGGGACCGGCGGCCUCGAGGGGUGCAGGGGCAUGCGGAACUCAGGGUGGAGCGGUGAAAUGCGUAGAGAUCCUGAGGAACACCGGUGGCGAAAGCGGCGUGCUGGACACCUACUGACGCUGAGGCGCGAAAGCCAGGGGAGCGAACGGG
rnacentral:rRNA from 1 species